rnacentral:RNase_P_RNA from 1 species
CGAGCGGGCCACGUGAUCGCCCCGAGCGAUCGGGGAGGAAAGUCCGAACUCCGAACGGGCGGCAUGCCGGGUAACGCCCGGUCGCGGUGACGCGAAGGAAAGUGCCACAGAAAAGAAACCGCCCUGCGCUCCUCGCGGAGAGCACGGUAAGGGUGAAACGGUGCGGUAAGAGCGCACCGCUCCGCCGGCAACGGUGGAGGCACGGUAAACCCCAUGCGGAGCAAGGC